AUUGAACGCUGGCGGCAUGCUUUACACAUGCAAGUCGAACGGUAGAGGGGGCAACCCCUUGAGAGUGGCGAACGGGUGAGUAAUGCAUCGGAACGUGCCCAGUCGUGGGGGAUAGCCCGGGGAAAGCCGGAUUAAUACCGCAUACGACCUGAGGGGGAAAGCGGGGGACGGAAAGGCCUCGCGCGAUUGGAGGGGACGAUGUCGGAUUAGGUAGUUGGUGGGGUAAAGGCCUACCAAGCCUGCGAUCCGUAGCUGGUCUGAGAGGACGACCAGCCACACUGGGACUGAGACACGGCCCAGACUCCUACGGGAGGCAGCAGUGGGGAAUUUUGGACAAUGGGCGCAAGCCUGAUCCAGCCAUGCCGCGUGCGGGAAGAAGGCCUUCGGGUUGUAAACCGCUUUUGUCAGGGAAGAAAUCCUUUGGACUAAUACUCUGGGGGGAUGACGGUACCUGAAGAAUAAGCACCGGCUAACUACGUGCCAGCAGCCGCCGUAA
rnacentral:rRNA from 1 species